GGCGGGACACGUGGUAUCCUGUCUGAAUAUGGGGGGACCAUCCUCCAAGGCUAAAUACUCCUGACUGACCGAUAGUGAACCAGUACCGUGAGGGAAAGGCGAAAAGAACCCCGGCGAGGGGAGUGAAAAAGAACCUGAAACCGUGUACGUACAAGCAGUGGGAGCACAGAGCAAUCUGUGUGACUGCGUACCUUUUGUAUAAUGGGUCAGCGACUUAUAUUCUGUAGCAAGGUUAACCGAAUAGGGGAGCCGAAGGGAAACCGAGUCUUAACUGGGCGUUAAGUUGCAGGGUAUAGACCCGAAACCCGGUGAUCUAGCCAUGGGCAGGUUGAAGGUUGGGUAACACUAACUGGAGGACCGAACCGACUAAUGUUGAAAAAUUAGCGGAUGACUUGUGGCUGGGGGUGAAAGGCCAAUCAAACCGGGAGAUAGCUGGUUCUCCCCGAAAGCUAUUUAGGUAGCGCCUCGUGAAUUCAUCUCCGGGGGUAGAGCACUGUUUCGGCAAGGGGGUCAUCCCGACUUACCAACCCGAUGCAAACUGCGAAUACCGGAGAAUGUUAUCACGGGAGACACACGGCGGGUGCUAACGUCCGUCGUGAAGAGGGAAACAACCCAGACCGCCAGCUAAGGUCCCAAAGUCAUGGUUAAGUGGGAAACGAUGUGGGAAGGCCCAGACAGCCAGGAUGUUGGCUUAGAAGCAGCCAUCAUUUAAAGAAAGCGUAAUAGCUCACUGGUCGAGUCGGCCUGCGCGGAAGAUGUAACGGGGCUAAACCAUGCAC
rnacentral:rRNA from 1 species